AUGUCAAUUCCAUGGUAUGAGAUUAUGUGGGAGAGAGACCUCAAGCUUCCCAUGGUUAUCUCGGAGGCCUGGGCUAAACACCGGCCAACCGGCAAUUUGGGCUCGGUGGAUGACUCUCUGAAGGAGGUGAUGACUGAAUUGAGGAAUUGGAGCAAACUGAAUUUUGGUAAUGUUCUGAAGGACACUGAAAAACUCCGUCAGUAG
rnacentral:rRNA from 1 species